AUAUCAAAGUGACUGACUUGUUGUGCGAUCAGCUGGUAAGGCAGGGGAGGUUCAAAGUUCAUUUUUACCCCGAUUGUCUCCACAUCGAAGCACACCAUGGGGUUUUCCUUCUCGAUUUGAGUCAGAGGAGGACCUGGGUACACCUCAGUCCUGCUUCAGAUACAUAAAUGAUGGAAGGAUCAGAGGUUCAGUCCUUGACGACGGCAUCACACCAGAUGAAUCUCCUUAAUGUCAACACGUCUAAUGCAGACGAGGAGGAAGAAAUCUCUCUCAACAGUGCACAGGAGGCAGAAACCUGCAGUCAGGCAAAAGAUGAAUUGCAGCUUGACGGUGAAUCAGUCAAGACUACAGCACUUGCUGAGAUGGACACAAAGACGGAACAUGAAGCUCAAACAUGCAGUCAUGAACAUCCAGAUGUGAAAGAGGAGCCUGUUGAUACCAGAACUGUUUUAGUGGAAAGUGGGAAGCCUCCACAAAGUCCUUCAAAUGAGAGUGGUAGCACUUUGGUAGCCCCAGUACCUACUGUGGAUGUAGUAGAAAACUCUCCUUCUGUUCUUAAAGGGACAGAAGAUACCGUAUUGACUUUUGAUGCUACCAUUCCAAAUGGCAAUGAACAGCCAUCGCUCUUGGUUACAAAUUGCCCCACUGAGCCAUCACCUGCUGAGGAUAGUAGUUCAGCUGAGAGUCCAUCAUCCUCUAAUGUCCAUAGCACUUCCAAAAACUCACCCACAGACUCAACAACAACCUCCGGUAUUUCUAAUGGACCUUCUACCCCGAUCUCUGACACCUUUAGCUCUUCGCUUGCUUCCAGCCCUCAAACCAGUGCCAAAAACCUGUUUCCCUCAAAUUCUUCUGCAAGUCCUUAUGACACUGAUUGCAGCCGAAAGCUUAUUUCUCAGAUCCAGCGGUCACUGUCACAAGAGUCACUGCUAGAUGAGCUUGAGUCUGAGCUCUUGGCUUGUCAGCUGCCGCAUGGUGACGAUAGAAGUGAGCGGAAAGGGAGCUCACCUGUCAAUGGACUCCCCACGGACCAGGAGGGAUGCAUGGUAGUCUUCGAGAAGUGUGUGCAGUACAAAUAUGCACAACAGGAGAAGGCUAUUCAGAAGUUGCUUGAGGAAAACAAGAGACAUCAGGAGCUGAUCCUGGGUAUCUGUUCAGAGAAGGACAAAAUGAGAGAUGAGCUCAAAAGGAGGACAGAAACAGAAAAGCAGCGCUUUGCCACCAUUACAAAGUUGGAGGCGAAGGUGAACGAGCUGCUGAAAGAACUGAAGGAGUCGCGGGAUAAACUUGUUCACCAGGAGCAGUCAGCUAAAGCUGCUCUCCAGCAGAUGCAGAAGGAGACAGGUUACCGGAUUGAACAGGUGAAUAAGAAAUGUGAUGAGGCGAGGCAAGAGAAGGAGACCAUGGUGAUGAAAUACGUGCGGGGUGAGAAAGAGGCCCUCGACCUGAGGCGGGAUAAAGAGAGUCUGGAGAAGAAACUGAGAGAAGCCACCAAAGAGGUGGAUCGCCAGGCCCUGCGAGGAAACCAGCUGGCUCAGGAGAAAGGGCGGCUGCAGCAGCUGUAUGAAGCAAAGGAAGGGGAGGUUGGCAGGUUGACUCGAGAUGUGGACAAACUAAAGGAGGAGAUCAACUCCCAUCUCAUCAAGGUCAAAUGGGCCCAGAACAAGUUAAAGAGUGAGGCAGAUGCGCACAAGGAAACUAAAGACAAACUGAGAGAGACCACGUCCAAGUUGGCCCAGGCGAAGGAAGAGACUGAGCAGAUCCGCAAGAACUGCCAGGACAUGAUUCGAACAUACCAGGAAUCAGAGGAACUCAGGUCCAAUGAGCUUGAUGCUAAACUUAGGGAGACGAAAGGAGAGCUGGAGAAACACAAGCAGGAACAAACAGACCAGUUAGAGCUACACCGGGUGAAAGCCAAAGAGCUGGAAGACCUGAAGAGGAGCUAUAAAGAGGCCAUGGAUGAGCUUGAUACGCUACGCACAAAGUUAAAGUGUCUGGAGGAUGAGCGUCCACGGUGGGAGGAUGAGCUGACCAAGUACAGGGAGAUCAUCAACCGGCAAAAAACUGAGAUUGGCCGCCAGAGAGAAAAGCUCGAAGAGGUGACUGCACUUCAGGAGCAGCAUCAAUGCGAUGAACAGGAAAUCAAAUCGCUUCGUGAUGAAGUGGAUGGCCUGACCAAUCAAAUGGCUGACCUGCACCGUGAUGUACAAGGCAGCAGAGAGCGUGAAGCGGAGUUACUGGGCUUCACUGAGAAGUUGAGCAGCAAGAACGCUCAGCUUCAGUCAGAGAGCAACGCACUACAGUCUCAGCUGGACCAGCUAACUAACAACUUCACCGAGCUUCAAGGAAAGCUGGAGGAGACCAACAGGCUGCUGGAAGACAAGUCACAGCAACUGAAACAGGAAGAGGCGCUAAGACGACAAGAGGUGCAGAGUCUGCAGGAGGAGCGGGCAGCACUGCAGACGGAGGUGGCCCAACUGAAAACCAGAGUAGAAGAGCUGAGGGAUGAGCUGGUGACUCAGAAAAGGAAGCAAGCUGCUAAUAUCAAAGACCUCACAAAACAGCUAACACAAGCCCGAAAAAGGCUGGAGCAAGUUGAGAAUGGAGGGUGCGAACGGGAUGCCAGCAGUAUGGGCAGUCGCUCCAGUUCCUCAGGUACUACUCCAAGAUUUGGUUCUUUGAAUGCACGUCAUGGCGGCAGCAGUGGCGUUGAAGAGCGGUCACCGGAGAGCCAGUCGGGCCCUUCGGUGGUGGUUGUGGACAGUUUCCCAGAGGUCGACAAGGCUCUGCUCGUUGAGCGUAUCGUCCGUCUGCAAAAGGCUCUAGCUCGGAAGCAGGAGAAAAUCGAAUUCAUGGAGGACCAUAUCAAGCAACUGGUGGAAGAGAUCCGCAAAAAGACCAAGUGAGUGGGAUGGACCAACAUAGAGGAAGCAGAAAACGGGAAAUGACCCAACUUCUUCCAUCUCUACCUCUAAUGUUUUGGAAUCUUUUUGAUUGUUGCGUGCUCAAGCAGUACUUAUGGAUAAAGGUUUGAAAUUGACAGCAGUCCCAGUGCAAAUGCACAAAAGUCUCAGAUACAGUGUUUCAGGCUUUAUGGCUUUUAUUUAAAAGAUAGCAGUAAUAUUACAGGUUUGAGAAAAUGAAACGCUCUGCAAACAACCUCUGCCUUUUAAGAAAACUAACAACUUAAAGUAGGAUGUGUAGUCUAUGCUACGUAUACGUUCAGUUCUUUUUAUUCACUUUUUAAACAUUGAAACACCCCGACCAAUAUGACAGCUAAGCUCUGAACGUAUCAUAUCUCAUUUCAUAACUUGGUUCGACACAGAUUUUCCAAAUGAUGAAAGGAUGCUUCAGCUGACCUUGACCCCCAUACAGACAGUUUACGGUGCUCUGCUUCCUUCUUUGUCUCACCCUCUAAUCUUUUGAUCCUAACCCAUGAAGGCACUGACUCAUUCAUGACAAACUUCGCUGAAAUCUAUUUAUAGUCUGAGCCAUACAUGGAGCCGCAUGUGUAUGACUGCUUAAUGAUGCUCCAUCCAUAUUCAUCUCCAUCACCUGCAAUGAAAAAGCCAGUGUAAAGGACGUUUGGACGAUAUUAAUCUCAUCGCAGUGUUGCGUAUUCUACAUUUAAGGCCUCGCAGUCCAUCGUGUGCUAUACUGGUAUACUACGAUAAAAUGAUCAAUGAAUAUAUGUUUAUUAAAUCUAUAUAUUUGUUUUUGAUAUGAUAUAAAGCUAAAAAAAUAGGAUAUUUAAAAAGUCAGAAGGUCUCAAAGCUGAAAGGUAAAUAACUGAAGUCCUAUAGUUCAGCUGUACAGUUUGCUAAAGUUCUGCUUCAGUUUUUUUUUCUUUUCAUCCAUCCUACUUGAUUCUACUUGGAUCAUCUCUGCUUUCCCACUUCUCAUUUGUUUCCCAGCCAUAAACUCGGAUUGAAUCCAUUAGCCUCAACCUACAUUUAAGAGUUAAAAUUGAGGACGAAUCCCACGGUUGCAAAGCUAAAUUUAGCUGUGUAAAAUCUCUGCUAAGCACGGGGCCGGGUGUGGGAGGGUUACACUACUCAGAGCAGGGAUGUAAAGUUGUCCUUUUUGCCUUUCUGUCCCUAUCCCUCCAGGACAGCCCGGUGAACACUGACAAGAUAGCUGUAAGGCCGAAGCAGGUGAUGAAUAAAGAGACUGAUACAUGGCGGCUAAAUCUUAAAGGGUUUCAGAUAAAGGAGAGUUGGUGGCUAAUCUUCGAUACCACAUCCAUGACACUUGUCAUAAUCAUAGCAGUGUUUUUCAUCUUUAAGCUCACUUUUGAAAGUGGGAGGAGCCUUUCUGGGUGCCACUGGUCAGGGCUGGACAAUACGUUUUACAUUUAAAAUCUAUUCAAAGUAGAUAUUUGAUAGUGAUACGGUUUAUUGUUGCAAUCUAAAACCCUUUUUUUUUUUUCUUUAAAGCUGCAUCAGUGCAGUCCACUGCAGUCCCAGUGGCCCCACUAGCUCACAAAUACGCCUGCAACACAGAGAGAGACACAGUGCCCCAUUUGAACAGUUUGAGCCCUAAACCUUUCUUAUAAUUAUCCCAUGAAGGAAUAUGCAGUGGGGUCUGACUUGAGUGAGUUUUCACAAAGUCCAGUAAAGUGUUCAGGUGUCUAACAAGGAUACUCAUCGCCUAAAAUAAAUGGUGUUUUUCCAGCCUGGCGAACUCACAUGAUGCAGUCGGUCUUCUGUUUUGUUCUGCUCAGAAAAAUCAGGUCUGAGCAUCAUCUUAAGCUGCCCAUUCUCUCGAUAUUGGCUAAAGUUCAGUUGUGAAAUCUUCUUAUGGCUUUAAUGCAGGAUCAUAUUUGGUCCAUAUUGCUUAGUCUUACAGUACCAUUGGUCUAUUUUCUUUAGCGACGGUAGCUGUAGAUCAAUGGUAUUGUAGUAUUUUGUUUUUCUAAGCCAGACAGAACAAGAUUCUGCAGAAACCAUAUUGUAAUGACUGAAACCUGCGGCUACAGUUAAAAAGCUGUAGCAUUGCUACAAUAUAAUAGUCUUGCAGGAGCAAAGAAAAAAUAAUUGCGAAACCAGAAAUGGUCCCUCCCACUUAGCAAUUUUAUCGCUACCUGGUGAUUUGUAGAUGUAUUUUCACUCAUCACGCAGCCUUGCAUUAUGUUCCCGGAGUGGCUUGUUGAUGUAAUGUGUGUAGGAAGUCAAAGACGGGUCAGUGUAUAGAGUACAGCAUAUGUGAUUGGAAGUAAAUGAGCUAAAACGAGCAGAAUUAGCAGCAGCAUCCUUCAAGGGCAGUGAUGUCUUUCCCUCAACUGCCACACCUGGUUAUUAUGGCCAUUAGGUCUAAAUUGGCUGUUCAUGUGACUUGAAUUAAAAUGAUACUGUUGAAGACCAGAUGGGAACAAAGCAGGCGGAGGCCUUCUGCUCAGGAGGUGUUGAUACCUAUUUAUCUGGAGAGCACUCUUUUCACUCCACUAAGGCUGCGAUCAAUGAUAACUGUAAAUCAGAGGAAUACAGGCUCUGUUGCAGGCUAUUGUGGGCCCACACUGGUGAAUGGGUUAAGUAUGCAUAAUGGGACGCAUCACUUCAGGGAUAUCUGUCUCAUUGCCAGUCAGGGUCAUAUCUUAAAGUAUUUUUGCUGUUGUCAUGAUGUUGUCCCUUCAUAUUUUCUGGAUGAAGGAUUGUGUUAUGGUUUAUUGAGAUCUCAUCACAUGCAUUUGCAUUUACUGAGCAGGUGUACUUGUUGUUGUACAAAAUGAAGCUGAUUACUUCCUGCUUAUAGCCUCCAUGUUCUGAAUACAGACCACAAUAUAUAUAUAUUUUUUUGUCCGCUAUCUUUAUUCCGACCUUUGAAGUCCAAAGUUUGUAAUCUUAAGAACUGUGGUUUCUUAAUUGAGCUGUUGUGCCACCCUCACGCUAUGCAUGCAUGACUCGCUGCCCCUCUUUUUUAGAAGGAAAAAAAAAUCCCUUUGAGUCUUAGAUUCAAAAUAAUAAGUCAUUGUCAUUCUAAAUUUCUGAUCUCUUCCCCCUGCCGACCUGUGCAUGCCAUUGAGCACAUCAUGUAGCCACAUCUUUAAUUUCUGUCACUUUUUUUUUUGUUUUUACUAAACACUGUCGUGAUGGAACUGGGGUCCUAAUAUGGACCCUUGCAAGGCUAGUCUAGAGAAUUAUCCAGAGCUAUGUGCUGAGAGAGGAGACAGGGGCCCUCUCAUCAGAGGCAUCUGAUAUUAACAAGGCCCACCUCAGCCGGCGGGGAG